CUCGUAGGCGGUUUGUCACGUCGUCUGUGAAAUCCCUCGGCUUAACCGGGGGCGUGCAGGCGAUACGGGCAGACUUGAGUACUACAGGGGAGACUGGAAUUCCUGGUGUAGCGGUGAAAUGCGCAGAUAUCAGGAGGAACACCGGUGGCGAAGGCGGGUCUCUGGGUAGUAACUGACGCUGAGGAGCGAAAGCAUGGGGAGCGAACA
rnacentral:rRNA from 1 species